AACGAACGCUGGCGGCAUGCCUAACACAUGCAAGUCGAACGAGACCUUCGGGUCUAGUGGCGCACGGGUGCGUAACGCGUGGGAAUCUGCCCUUCGGUUGGGAAUAACUGAGAGAAAUUUCAGCUAAUACCUUAUAAUGUCUUCGGCCCAAAGAUUUAUCGCCGAGGGAUGAGCCCGCGUAGGAUUAGGUAGUUGGUGGGGUAAUGGCCUACCAAGCCGACGAUCCUUAGCUGGGCUGAGAGGAUGAUCAGCCACACUGGGACUGAGACACGGCCCAGACUCCUACGGGAGGCAGCAGUGGGGAAUAUUGGACAAUGGGCGAAAGGCUGAUCCAGCAAUGGCGCGGGAGUGAUGAAGGGCUUAGGGUUGGAAAGCUCUUUUACCCGGGAUGAUAAUGACAGUACCGGGAGAAUAAGCUCCGGCUAACUCCGUG
rnacentral:rRNA from 1 species